UCUUUCUUCUGUCUAGCUUGCGGGUCUGAGGUCCACAUAAUGAUCACAUGUCUGAGCGGGGGUGAGGGUAAGAUUAUGGGGUUCUGUACAAACAUGAGGGUCUCCAGGAUUUGUAAUAUGUACUUCUCUGGGUCUCUAGCAGCAAGAGUCAGGCCCAGGCCAAGCACAUAGUGGAUGCUCUGUGUCAGUUGCUUACUGGCCAUGAUCUUACCUGUCAGCUCCAGUGAGUCCAGGGGCCUCACAUAUACCCCAGGGAGGUUUUCAGUGAACUGAUCCAGUGGGUUUGACACAGGGCCCAGAUCGUGGCACCUCUAGCCUGACAGGGUUGGCAGGAGACACGAAGGAAGUGUCUCUCACUUCUGCCCUCCCACCCAAACUCCUUAGCCCUGUCCUGGGGGUGGCGCUUGCCCAAACAACUCUGUCUUGGCAAUGAUGGGUUGAAGAGGAGGAGAGCAGGCAAGCGGGUGCUGGGUAUCUUCCAUGGCACCGAAGCAGAACCGUCACAGUUGGGGAAAGCCCUUAGGUUUACACGGACCAAUAAGGAGAGAGCGGGGGGAAUUGCUGCUCCUGGCCCCGGUCUUAGGCAUGGUGGCCCUUCCCCUCUCAGGUUCUUCAUGUCAGCCUGGGAAGGGUAACUCUGGGAACGGGCUGGGGCUCUGCUAGCCUCUCACGAGAGGAGACGGGAGCAUUUCUUCUGGUCUCAUCUCAGUUUCUCCAUCCACAGCAGCAGUGGGAGUGGGAGAACAGGGCUGUCUCUGGAGUAGAGUUUGGGUCAGACUGUAGCAGCCCUGCAGGGGGAUGAUUCGGGCAUGGGUGAAGGGGUUUAGGGUGGUGGAAGUGGAGCCACAGGGAAGGAUGAGGGCAGCAUUUGUGGAUCCCACAGUAACAGUGAGUGGGAGAGGCAGAGGAGAAGGAGGUGGGGAGGCCGAGUCUUCGGAUGGCCUGAGGGGGCUGGUGCUCCAGCACCUCCCUGAGGCCCAGGACACCUUGCUGAGCAUCUGACCUCCCCCUCAGGCCAGACCACACCAGGUAGAGAAUCCCACUGCAUGGGUGCCCCCUCCUGCACUCUGUUUCGCAGCGCCUUUUCCCCUUGUCAUUGGUCCCCUCCAGGGAGCCACUGUGAGUGCACAGAACAGGUGGGGCUCUCCCAGCUGCUAUCCAGCUGUGAAGAACCCUGACCAUGCCCCUCCCAUCCCCCUGCAGGAGAGAAGGUUCUAAUUCUAGCCAGAAAGAUGAGAAGGAUGGUACGGCGAGAGGGUCCAGAGGGGCGCGUGGAAGCUAACCACUUGCCCCAGUUGUGUGAACAUAUGUGUGGGAGGGGAGGGGCCUGCAGGUGGCAAGGCCCAGCUUAAGAAUGAUGGAGUGUUUCUUAGUUCUCUGAGCUAGAGACAUAUGGGCUAUAUAAGACCAAGCAAAACGAGAAAUUAUUGCUUAAGAGAGAGAGGACAUGGGGGGGAUAAGAAAAAAUUCAAGCCAGGGAGACCCAAUGCCACUUGCCCCCUCACCAUCAUGACCUGACCCAUCUGUGCUUGACUGGAUCAAAGUCCAAGGGGAGGGAGAGGUCUGAGAACUGACCCUCAGGGCCUCCGGCAGGGGAAAAGCUGAUCCUCCCAACGUGCAUUUCCCCGAUGUUACGGGGAGCUGGGAACAGCCGCCCAAAUUCUCCAGGUGGGACAGUGGGUGGAGCUUUCUCCAUCUUCCUCCGUCCUUCUUGCGCCCGCCUCUCUCUCCAUCCCUCCCCUCUCUCUAGUCCAAUGGGGAACCAGUUCUCUCUUCUCCCGCUGGCCUGGCUCUCAUGGUUCUCCCCAGCACUGAGCCCUCCUCAUCCACUCAGUGGCUCCCACCCUCUCUUGUCUGCUCUGAAUCUCCCUUUCCUGUACCAAGCCUCCUAGGCUUUGUCUGUCCCCACAUAGGCCCCUCCCCCUAAAUCAAGUUCACUUACCCAACCUUGGGGCUGAUGCAACACCUUUAGGGUCCCCUGUGGGCUGGUGCCUUGGUCCAGCUCCAGGGUUGGAGUUUCUCUGGUCCGUCUGGCCUCUAUCACUCAACAUCCACAUGUCUGGGUUAGACUGUGACCUCUACAGGACUGGCAAGGAUCCAAGUGUUUAUGUGGUCACCAGCACAGCUCCGGGAGCAACCUGAUUUUUGAUAGAGUUGACAGCUUUUCUUUUGAUUCCAUGAGGCAGAAGUAGCUAGAAGGAUGCUGAGAGGUCUUAGAGGACCACUGAGUGUGACUAAGGCACUUCCUCCAGGGAAGCCACCUCCUGCUACAACAAGCAGUGACUGAGGCUGGACAGCAAGAACUUCUGAAGACUCUUAAGGUGGAAGGAAAGAUUUCCAGGGUUUCUGUGAAGACGUUGGGGAGGGAUGGCCUUAACCUUUUCAAGCUCGGAGGGAGCAGGCGGGUCUGUGAAUCUGGAGAGGUUUACUUCCACCCUUGUAGGACUGAUCCAAAAGAGGGAUGGCCACUUCCUCUUUAGGAGCCCUGACUCGUCAUCCUCAGUGCAAUCCCAUUCACAAUUUCUUUGAUAAUUGUUUGUUCCUUGGCCAGAAAUCUGGUUCUUGAAUUCCCUCUCCUGUUCUUUCCAUGAUCUGGGAACCGUCUUUGGGAACCAACUACAUUUCCAUUUUAUGGAGCCAGAAGAACAGAGAGGUAGAGCCAUGUCUAGGCGGUGACACAGCAAGCCUGCGAGGAGCUGGGAAUGCCUUCCUUAGGUGAAUGCCCUCGUCUUGUCUUUGGAUGCGAAGGGAAAGGAUGUGAUCCCCGAGGAAAAGGGAAGGGUUGUCCAGAGCAGGGUGUGUUAUCAGCCAGAAGAGCACCCGCACCCAGCCACCUCGGUCUAAAUGUGCGCACGGUGGAAAUAUCUUCACAGCCAAGGGCCCCUCCCUCCCAAAGAGAAAAUCCCACAAGUGGGGAACAUCUGGAUCAAACCGCAACCAUGAAAGCACAACAUCAAACGAGGGUUUCAGAGGGACCCUCCCCACAGGCCCUGCUCCGAGAGAAGUUGCAGAUCUUCCUGCUUGAAGCUUUUAAGUGUCACAGAACCACUCAAGUUUGGGAUCUCUCCGUAUUCCCCAGAGACAGAUGUCCCCAAACUGUCAGGUUUGAAGGCAUGGACUCCCUCACUCUAACUGGGUUCCUGGUGCCCCGCACAGUGCCUGGCAGAGAGUAGCUGCUUGGUGAUGAAGCCCUGCUCCAGCUCCCAGCUGGAGCGCGUUCUCCCGCCGCCAGCGUUCUGCGAAACAAAACAAGCCACGCGAUGAUUCCUCCUCAGCCUCGAGGCCUCUGAGCGGCUACAAGGGCAGCUCCUAUCUGACAUCCUCUGGGAGUCUUCCGGGGGGACCCUAGUUGACAGCACUCUCUCCCAUCUCUGAAAUGUAUUGUCCACAAGAUUCACCCAGGAUUUCCCUGCUGGUCCAGUGGUUAAGACUUCGUGAUUUCAGUGCCUCCUCUUUUUUUUUUUUUUUUUUUAACAACUUUAUUGGAGUAUCACUGUUUUACAAUAGUGUGUUAGUUUCUCCUUUACAACAAAGUGACUCAGUUAUACAUAUACAUAUGUUUCAGUGCCUCCUCUUCAGGGGGAACGGGUUCGAUCCCUGGUCGGGGAGCUAACAUCCCCCAUGCGGUGCAUGGGGGCGGCCGAAACAAACAAACAAACGAAAGCAAACAAAAAAAGUCUCACUACACCUUCAUGGUGAGGGUUAUUAUUGUUAUUUAUUAAUCUGGGAUGGAUGUGUCUUGUUUGGUCGCGUGAGACCCGAUGCUCUUUGGGACCAGGCUCUUUUACUCCUACUCUUCAUGCGGGCCCGCAGUGCCCAGCAUGGAGUCUCCUCAGGGCAGGCUGGCUGUUGACUAGCUGACUCCUCCGAGCCCUAGUGUCUAAGCUUUUGCUGUGGUGGCUCCUCUAGGGCUCUGAUGGCUGAGCGUCGGGAGCUGCUGAGUCGGGAUGUCUUGGCGUAAUGGGGUGAAUUGGACACACACACGAAGGAGCCCGGUCCCAGUGAGGUGAGGCCUGAAUGACCCUGCAGGUCGAGAGGAUGCUUGAGCGGGGAUGUUGUGAAAAUGACCAAGGUCAGGAGGGAUCCUACACCUCACUGCCAUUUCUAGGCCCAGGCUGACCUGUGCUCCAGCAACAUCACCUGACACCGAGCUUGGGUUGGAUCAGCUGUGCUCCAUUACCCUCACAGUCCUCCCUGGGGCUGGAGCUGCCUUUGAAGUUGAUGGAGAGAAGAUUGGUGAGCUGUCGCCUGAGCCUAGAUCUCCCAGACAUCGAUGGGGGUCAGGAAUUUGUUUCCUUCCCUUUUUCUCCUUCUUAGUUCACUGUUUAGGAUGAAAAAUGACAACCAGAUGAACAAAAGAAUGAUCAUCAGGAAUGAUAAAUAAUACACUCCAGAUGUGGCCAGAGAGAAAUGCAACUGAAAGCACCGCCGCCUCCAAGGAGUCACGUUGGGGCGACCCCCUUCUUCCAACAAGGCCACAAUGACACAAGUUCUGUAACUCUUCUUUGGGAACUGUCUUCAGGGCAUGUGACUCAGUCUUUACAUGUCCUUACUGGUGACAGAUCUUUAUCAUUUGCUUCUCUGGAAUCAGUCAAAAACCGAUUUGUAGCUAAUCAUGGUUGUCUUGAGUAUUUUGUAAAACGGCUAGAGAGUCCAUUUUAAAGGAGCCUUUGCAGAAAUGGCUUAAUCGAGAGAGGUACGGACGGGAUAAGCGUAUUUCCUCCUAAGGUGCCUGUCCCGAAGGACAGCCCUUGUUUGUUCUUCCGUGUUUGUUUAGAGAAGCUAAUCACAGAUAUACAUCCCGUACUGUAUUCUGUAUAAUAGAAGAAUGUAUUAGGACGUCGAAGGCUGUAUGCUAACUGCUUCCCCCUCCCCCUGCUAUUAUGAGUUAACGCCUCUGACGACAGUGUCCUUGCUUCUGCUGAGGGACGCAGGGAAUAGAGGCAGGGCUGACCCAAGUGAAGAAUUGGUACAGUGAUCCAGGGCAAAGGUUCGGAUUGACAUUUACCCUCGAGAGUUGCCUAACUCCGCACUCCUUUCUGGACUAGCUCUGUGUUCAUUCUUCCGGGGGACUUGGCCAACUGGGCAGAGCCCUUUUU